CCUACGGGGGGCAGCAGUGAGGAAUAUUGGUCAAUGGGCGUAAGCCUGAACCAGCCAAGCCGCGUGAGGGAUGAAGGUUCUAGGGAUCGUAAACCUCUUUUAUAAGGGAACAAAGUGUGGGACGCGUCCUGUUCUGUAUGUACCUGAUGAAAAAGGAUCGGCUAACUCCGUGCCAGCAGCCGCGGUAAUACGGAGGAUCCGAGCGUUAUCCGGAUUUAUUGGGUUUAAAGGGUGCGGAGGCGGCCUUUUAAGUCAGCGGUGAAAGCCCGGGGCUCAACCAUCGCAUUGCGGUGGAAACUGGCAGGCUUGAGUGUGUGGGAGGUAGGCGGAAUGCGUGGUGUAGCGGUGAAAUGCUUAGAUAUCACGAAGAACCCCGAUGGCGAAGGCAGCAUGC
rnacentral:rRNA from 1 species